AGUCUCUCUUGCUGUUAAGGUGUUUUGGGUAAUUCAGAAACAAGCCUGGUACCAACCCGAUGUCUAUCUUUACAAGGACCUGAUCAUUGCGUUGGCGAGACGGAGAAAAAUGGAUGAUGCAAUGAAGUUAUGGGAGAGUAUGAGAAAGGAAGAUCUAUUUCCUGAUUGUCAGACAUUCACUGAAGUUAUUAGGGGAUUCUUGAGAGAUGGAUCUCCUGCAGAUGCUAUGAAUAUAUUUGAAGACAUGAAGAAGUCUCCAUACCCACCUGAGGAGCUACCUUUCAGGGUUUUGUUGAAGGGACUUUUGCCACACCCACUAUUAAGAAAUAGGGUUAAGCAAGACUUUGAAGAGAUUUUUCCGGAUCGGCACAUAUAUGAUCCUCCAGAAGAGAUUUUUGGAUUACGUUGAGGCUUUGAUAGUAGUACAGCACCAUACGAUUGUCUCUAUUGCUGCACAAAUA
rnacentral:misc_RNA from 1 species